rnacentral:rRNA from 1 species
UACGUAGGGUGCGAGCGUUGUCCGGAAUUAUUGGGCGUAAAGAGCUCGUAGGCGGUUUGUUGCGUCGGCCGUGAAAACCUGCGGCUCAACUGCAGGCUGGCGGUCGAUACGGGCAGGCUGGAGUUCGGUAGGGGAGACUGGAAUUCCUGGUGUAGCGGUGAAAUGCGCAGAUAUCAGGAGGAACACCGGUGGCGAAGGCGGGUCUCUGGGCCGAUACUGACGCUGAGGAGCGAAAGCGUGGGGAGCGAACAGG